GGAAGCCGAGAAGUCCCCCGCCGUCCGCGAAUAUGGCGCCUCCCGUUUAAAGGGGACGGAGGAGGAUGGAGAAAGGUUCAUCCUCACCAGCCAGAAAUUCAAAGAUCUUCUGGAGAGCUGGGAAAAGCUCCACACAAAACAAAACCCUUCUCUUUGUGAAAGAAGAGCAUUUUGAUUGAAGAGAACAGCUUUUAAGAGCAGGCCUCACAAGGGAACAGCUCUCAUCUUAACCCAGCUGCUUCACACAAGCGCGUGAGGACAUGCUUUUAAAAAUAGAAAAUCAGACAAAAAAGGCUGCUUUUUUGUAUUACCUUAAUGAUUUAUUACAGCGCUGAAUGACCCAACAGCUGUGCACCGCUGCCAACAAUCAUAAGCAGUGUCACUCAGUAUCAAAACAGUUAUCUACAAGUGGCCUAUUUCCAGACGCUGCUGCAAACACCCUGGGAGAACAGAACAGAAUGCAUAAUAAAGGCUCCUUGUGAAAGUG